UACGACUACAUAUCAGGCAUAUCAAUAAGCGGAGGAAAAGAAACUAACAAGGAUUCCCUUAGUAACGGCGAGUGAAGCGGGAAGAGCUCAAAUUUGAAAUCUUCAAGGGUUCUACCUUUACGAAUUGUAGGUUUAAAGAAGUGUUUUCUGUUGGAGUUUUCGGUAAAAGUUCUUUGGAAUAGGACAUCAUAGAGGGUGAGAAUCCCGUAUUUGACCAGUUACUUUUCAGCUGUGUGAUACACUUUCAAAGAGUCGGAUUGUUUGGGAAUGCAGUCCAAAAUGGGUGGUAAAUUUCAUCUAAAGCUAAAUAUUGGCGAGAGACCGAUAGCGAACAAGUACCGUGAGGGAAAGAUGAAAAGAACUUUGAAAAGAGAGUUAAACAGUACGUGAAAUUGUCAAAAGGGAAGCGUUUGACACCAGUGUUGUUUAGUUGAAAAAUCAAUUACGAAUAGGUUUUGAUUCUAGUAGUAUUGACCUUCAUCAGCUUUCUUCACUUCUUCUCGAGUAUUAUUAAUGCACUUUUCAGGUUAACAAGUCAACAUCAAUUUCUUUUGUUGUAAAAGGAGUAUAGGAAGGUGGCUUGCUCUUUCGGCGCAAGUGUUUAUAGCCCUUUAUACUCUACAAUCCGGAGAGAUUGAGGUCUGCAGCGUAGAUCCUUCGGGGUUAGAUACAUUUGUGCUAAGCUAGUAGCCUUGUAUAGACAACUUGUUGACUAUGCUUCAGUCAUGUAGGCUUACUCGCUGAUGCUAUUUUACCUACGCUUAGGAUGUUGAGUAGCGACAUACGCAC
rnacentral:rRNA from 1 species